AAGAACUUUUAAAUAAAAUCUUAUUAGAAGUGAAAAUUCCAAAUGAAUAAUAAGAGUAGGAGUGGACAAAGUUUCUUCUUUAAGCCCUUACUUAUUUAAGCUUCGAUGCGAAGCAAAAAAGGUAUUAAUUUUAUUAUUAUGUGUUUUUUUUUGUGUCUGUUAUCACUUUUUCUCAGCUCUCAACAAGUUGAUUUCUUUCAACGAUACGUCAAAAGAUCAUAAAUCGUAUCUCGUCAAAGACAUUAUCCUCAAAAAUUGAAAAAAUUUCCCUCGUUCUCUUUUUUAAAAAUAAACAAGUCAAUAAAUUUUUUUUAUAGAUAUAUGAGGUAUUUACCUAUUGUUUUGUAUAUUUUUUGUAGAAAUCUGACCCUUUACUUGCCCACAUUAUGGGAUUCAAAAUGACAAUUUUUUCAAAAAAAAAUCAACUUUUUCAACUUAAAUUUUGAAAAUGUUCCGAAAACUCUGACACUUUAUCAUGAAAAAAAAUUUCAGACUUUAUUUUGUCUUCACGGUGAAAAUGGAUACCAAACAUUAUUUUUAUCAAUACAAUUUUUUCAUGAGUAGUAUACAUCAUUCAUUUAUGGUUAAUUUAUAAUAAUUUUUUGGUAUGUUCACCUUUAUUACUACGAUUGAGGGAAACGUUAAACGAGGACAGCAGAUGUGUGCGAACGUGUCAAGUAGAAGUUUAGGAUAAAGAUGGCCGACCCCAAAUAGUUGAGAUAAAGAUAGAUUUGUCAUUUGAAGUGAAGCAAGAAAAUAUUUUUUUGGUCUUUGGAACUAAAUACAACAGCAGAAUAAUAUGAGGAAUUUUUCAACACUCUUCUUCUGGCAGUUUUAUAUAUGGUUGCGUUUAUUGUACAAAUUUCAGCGUAGUCGAGUAAUAAUAGAACAUACAACUCUUAUUACAAGAACCUUAACAUAUUUGCAGGGGUAAAUUCACGAAUUAUUAAUUUUUCACUAUAAAAGUAUAACAGUAAAUUUUACUACAGAUAAAAACGCCAUUUUGUAGCUUCGAUGCAAAGCUGAGAAGCUAUUGGCUUUACUAAGAUGUGUUUUUUUUUUUUUUUGUGUCUGUUACCACUUUUUCUCAGCUCUAACAGAACGGAUUUCUUUCAACGAUACGUCAAAAGAUCACAAAUCGUAUCUAGUGGAAGACAUUACCCUCAAAAAUUGAAAAAAUUUCCCUCGUUCCCCGUGAAUGUAGGA